UACGUAGGGGGCAAGCGUUGUCCGGAUUUAUUGGGCGUAAAGAGCGUGUAGGCGGCUAGGUAGGUCCGUUGUGAAAACUCGAGGCUCAACCUCGAGACGCCGAUGGAAACCAUCUAGCUAGAGUCCGGAAGAGGAGAGUGGAAUUCUUGGUGUAGCGGUGAAAUGCGCAGAUAUCAGGAAGAACACCCGUGGCUAAGGCGGCUCUCUAGUACGGUACUGACGCUGAGACGCGAAAGCGUGGGGAGCGAACAGG
rnacentral:rRNA from 1 species